GCAUGGGUUUGGAUUUAUGGCAGGACCAUCCCCCUGAAUCUCUCAUAGUGCCCCAUGCCCAAGCAAACUGUGGCCUUGAACUAUUGCCGGGCUUCUGCCCGUAGGCUGCAGGCAACAAGUGGGUUAGACAGUG